rnacentral:rRNA from 1 species
GACGAACGCUGGCGGCGUGCUUAACACAUGCAAGUCGAACGGAAAGGCCCAGCUUGCUGGGUACUCGAGUGGCGAACGGGUGAGUAACACGUGGGUGAUCUGCCCUGCACUCUGGGAUAAGCCUGGGAAACUGGGUCUAAUACCGGAUAUGACCAACUGUCGCAUGGUGGUUGGUGGAAAGCUUUUGCGGUGUGGGAUGGGCCCGCGGCCUAUCAGCUUGUUGGUGGGGUAAUGGCCUACCAAGGCGACGACGGGUAGCCGACCUGAGAGGGUGAUCGGCCACACUGGGACUGAGACACGGCCCAGACUCCUACGGGAGGCAGCAGUGGGGAAUAUUGCACAAUGGGCGCAAGCCUGAUGCAGCGACGCCGCGUGAGGGAUGACGGCCUUCGGGUUGUAAACCUCUUUCACCAGGGACGAAGCGGAAGUGACGGUACCUGGAGAAGAAGCACCGGCCAACUACGUGCCAGCCGCCGCCGUAAGAC